rnacentral:rRNA from 1 species
CAUGCAAGUCGUACCAAUAACAUUAUACUAGCUUGCUAGAAGAUGACGAGUGGCGGACGGGUGAGUAAUGCUUGGGAACUUGCCUUUGCGAGGGGGAUAACAGUUGGAAACGACUGCUAAUACCGCAUAAUGUCUUCGGACCAAACGGGGCUUCGGCUCCGGCGCAAAGAGAGGCCCAAGUGAGAUUAGCUAGUUGGUAAGGUAACGGCUUACCAAGGCGACGAUCUCUAGCUGUUCUGAGAGGAAGAUCAGCCACACUGGGACUGAGACACGGCCCAGACUCCUACGGGAGGCAGCAGUGGGGAAUAUUGCACAAUGGGGGAAACCCUGAUGCAGCCAUGCCGCGUGUGUGAAGAAGGCCUUCGGGUUGUAAAGCACUUUCAGUUGUGAGGAAAAGUUAGUAGUUAAUACCUGCUAGCCGUGACGUUAACAACAGAAGAAGCACCGGCUAACUCCGUGCCAGCAGCCGCGGUAAUACGGAGGGUGCGAGCGUUAAUCGGAAUUACUGGGCGUAAAGCGCACGCAGGCGGUUUGUUAAGCUAGAUGUGAAAGCCCCGGGCUCAACCUGGGAUGGUCAUUUAGAACUGGCAGACUAGAGUCUUGGAGAGGGGAGUGGAAUUCCAGGUGUAGCGGUGAAAUGCGUAGAUAUCUGGAGGAACAUCAGUGGCGAAGGCGACUCCCUGGCCAAAGACUGACGCUCAUGUGCGAAAGUGUGGGUAGCGAACAGGAUUAGAUACCCUGGUAGUCCACACCGUAAACGCUGUCUACUAGCUGUGUGUGUCUUUAAGACGUGCGUAGCGAAGCUAACGCGCUAAGUAGACCGCCUGGGGAGUACGGCCGCAAGGUUAAAACUCAAAUGAAUUGACGGGGGCCCGCACAAGCGGUGGAGCAUGUGGUUUAAUUCGAUGCAACGCGAAGAACCUUACCUACACUUGACAUGCUGAGAAGUUACUAGAGAUAGUUUCGUGCCUUCGGGAACUCAGACACAGGUGCUGCAUGGCUGUCGUCAGCUCG